UCUGCUCCUUCUUUUCUUUUCUUUUACAUUCCCUUUUUUCUCUGCUCAAAAUACCGAACUUUGCAAAUAUGGCUACAACACUUCAUGAAAUCAGUCAAAUUGCAAGCAACUUGAUGCAAUUGAAUCUCAAAGUUAGAGUCGUUCGAAUGUGGAAAUCCCGGAUCGUUUGAAGCCUGAAAUACCAUAUUCCAUUGAGUUGAUUUUACAAGAUGCAGAGGACAAACAGCAGCCACAGCCACAGGUGCAGCUGCAGACACACGUGCAGAAGCAGGAACAGAAAGAGGUGGACAGUCUUAAAGACGAACUCUCAAGUCUCAACAUAAAAUAGAUGCGGUUGUUCUGCAGGGAUAUUAAUGGUUUGGGUUUGAAUGAACUACGACUGCUUGAACAUCAACUAAAUGAAGGACUAUUAGCCAUAAAGGACAUGAAGGAAGAAUUGUUGAUACAACAACUAGAGAACUCAAGGAGGCAAGUAAACCACAUCAGAAAGUUGAACUAUUUAUAUUUUUUAUUCCAGCGAAAAAAGAUUAGAAGUACAUAAUGAGCUUUUCUCAUGUUCUGCUCAUGUUUCUUUAUGAUGAUGCCUAUCCAGGAGGAGAGGGCUAUGUUGGAGAGUGAAACCUUACACAGACAGGCAAGAGAAGCCUUUGUUUUUGUUUCUAUUGCUUUACAGUCUAUAACUCCCCCCUUUAGGUUUCUGGUGGUUACUUUCUAACCAUAUUUUUUUAGAAGGUAACAACUUAACUGCAUCAAAAAAUUCUACUCAUGAAUGAUGAAAUUUUCUGGAAACAACGCGUCUUGACUAAAAAAGUUAUAUCUCUUUGUAGACGCCUCAAAAUCGUGAUUCGCUUGUGCCAUUGAAAAGAGCACUUCUAAAACUAAAACAUAUACAAAAAACAUCUAGAUUCUUUGUAUAUUUAUAAAGAUAUACUUUUGAAUUUAUUUUUGAAAUAUUGGUAUUCUAAUUUUCACAUCUUUACGUGUCAUCACUAAUAAAAUCAUAUCUUUCUGCAGACACAUCAAAACUAUGAUUUGCUUGUGCUGUUGGAGUUAGAACUUCUAGGGCUAAUACAUACAAAAAAUAGGUCCAAAAUAUUUGAAUAUUUAUAUAAAUUAUCUUUUGAUCUCAGUUUUAAAUUUUGUCAUUACAAUUUUAUAGCUUUGUGCAUCCUGACUACAAAAUAAUACAUCUAGUUGCAGGCACGUCGAAACCUUGAUCCACUUAUGCCGCAGGAGAGAGGACUUCUUCAACUACAUUAUAUACAAAAAAUUAGGUUAAGAUUCUCUGUAAAUUCAUACAGAUAUUUUUUUGAACUCAAUUUUGAUUUUCGAUCAUUGUGCUUUUAACAGCUUUGCGCUUUCUGACAGUAAAACUUAUA